AUCGAACGCUGGCGGCAGGCCUAACACAUGCAAGUCGAACGAGUGGCGGACGGGUGAGUAAUGUCUGGGAACCUGCCUGAUGGAGGGGGAAAACUACUGGAACCGGUAGCUAAUACCGCAUACCAUCAGAUCUGCCCAGAUGGGAUUAGCUAGUUGGGGGGGUAACGGCUCGCCAAGGCGACGAUCCCUAGCUGGUCUGAGAGGCUGACCGGCCACACUGGAACUGAGACACGGUCCAGACUCCUACGGGAGGCAGCAGUGGGGAAUAUUGCACAAUGGGCGCAAGCCUGAUGCAGCCAUGCCGCGUGUAUGAAGAAGGCCUUCGGGUUGUAAAGUACUGUCAGCAGGGAGGCGUUACCCGCAGAAGAAGCACCGGCUAACUCCGUGCCAGCCGCCGCGGUAAUAC
rnacentral:rRNA from 1 species